ensembl:lncRNA
CAGAAUCUGAUUAGCACAAAAGAAUGGGCUGUUUGUCUACCAGCAGGGAGGUCGGCAGUGAUGACCAGACAUGGUGGGCUAGAUAAGCAUAUCCAGAUUUGCCCCUGACCAGACGGUAGAAAGGAUAACUAACCAAGAACGCACUAACACUGACCAAGAUCUCCGUGAGGGUAGAGGUGAAACAAACCCAGUACUUUCAAUGGUGCCCUUUUCCUAGCUCACAACCGGAAACCAGUUCCUUACCAUCUCCAAACCUCAGCAAUCUACCUGGUCCUCCAAGGGGAAUAAUUCUGACCUUGGGCUGAAGAGGAAGAUGGUUUGCCAGAAGAGACUGGACUGAAGGGACUUCAAGGUCUCUUUGAAGACAGAGUCUGUGACUGUGCUUUGCAGCAGCUACAGGAGGAGGGGAACCAAACCCCAGCACAACAAAACCAGAUAUGCAGAGUGAAGGAACUGGGAUGUGUUAUGUGCAUGUUCCAACUCCAUAUGAGGAAUGUAAACAUUAUGCAUUACAAACUUG